rnacentral:rRNA from 1 species
CGGACGGGUGAGUAAUGUCUGGGAAACUGCCCGAUGGAGGGGGAUAACUACUGGAAACGGUAGCUAAUACCGCAUAACGUCGCAAGACCGAAGAGGGGGACCUUAGGGCCUCUUGCCAUCGGAUGUGCCCAGAUGGGAUUAGCUAGUAGGUGGGGUAACGGCUCACCUAGGCGACGAUCCCUAGCUGGUCUGAGAGGAUGACCAGCCACACUGGAACUGAGACACGGUCCAG